CAGCAGCCGCGGGAACACGAAGGGGGCUAGCGUUGUUCGGAAUUACUGGGCGUAAAGCGCACGUAGGCGGACAUUUAAGUCAGGGGUGAAAUCCCGGGGCUCAACCCCGGAACUGCCUUUGAUACUGGGUGUCUAGAGUAUGGAAGAGGUGAGUGGAAUUCCGAGUGUAGAGGUGAAAUUCGUAGAUAUUCGGAGGAACACCAGUGGCGAAGGCGGCUCACUGGUCCAUUACUGACGCUGAGGUGCGAAAGCGUGGGGAGCAAACAGGAUUAGAUACCCCCGUAGUCCCUGUCUCUUAUAC
rnacentral:rRNA from 1 species